rnacentral:rRNA from 1 species
GCUUGUCUCAAAGAUUAAGCCAUGCAUGUCUAAGUAUAAACUGCUUAUACUGUGAAACUGCGAAUGGCUCAUUAAAUCAGUUAUAGUUUAUUUGAUGGUACCUCUACUCGGAUAACCGUAGUAAUUCUAGAGCUAAUACGUGCGUAAAUCCCGACUUCUGGAAGGGACGUAUUUAUUAGAUAAAAGGCCAGCCGUCUCACGACGACCUGCGUUGACUCAUGAUAACUUCACGAAUCGCACGGCACCAGCUGGCGAUGGACCAUUUCAAUUUCUGACCUAUCAGCUUCCGACGGUAGGAUAUGGGCCUACCGUGGCAAUGACGGGUAACGGAGAAUUAGGGUUCGAUUCCGGAGAGGGAGCCUGAGAAACGGCUACCACAUCUAAGGAAGGCAGCAGG